rnacentral:pre_miRNA from 2 species
GGGAGGUGUGAUCCCGUGCUCCCCAGGAGGUCUGAUCCCGUGCUUCCUGGGAGGUGUGAUAUCGUGGUUCCU